AGCCAGAUGAUGAAAGCGACUGGAAAUCCAACGCCGAAUACACAAUGUGGAUUACACAGACGAGCUUUUUAAUUCUGAUGGCUA
rnacentral:snoRNA from 1 species